AGAGUUAGAGGGACUAUUGUUCUAGAACAGUGGUUCUCAAAUGGGGGUACGCGUACCCCAGGGGGUAUUUGAAGGUAUGCCAAGGGGUACGUGAGAUUUUUUUUUUAAAUAUUCUAAAAAUAGCAACAAUUCAAAGAUACUUUAUAAAUACAUUUAUUGAAUAAUACUUCAACAAAAUAUGAAUGUACUGUAAGUUCAUAAACUGUGAAAAGAAACGCAACAAUGCAAUAUUCGGUGUUGACAGCUGGAUUUUUUUGUGGACAUGUUCCAUAAAUAUUGAUGUUAAAGGUUUCUUUUUUUGUGAAGGAAUAUUUAGAAAUCCAGAUGGAUCUCUAUUACAAUCCCCAAAGAGGGAACUUUAAGUUGAUGAUUACUUCUAUGUGUAGAGAUUUUUAUUUAUAAUUAUAUCACUUGUUUAUUUUUCAACACGUUUUUAGUUAUAUUUACAUCUUUUUUUUUCUUCAAAUAGUUCAAGAAAGACCACUACAAUUGUGCAAUAUUUUGCACUGUUAUACAGUCUAAUAAAUCAAAAACUGAUGACAUAGUGCUGUAUUUUACUUCUUUAUCUCUUUUUUUCAACCAAAAAUGCUUUGCUCUGAUUAGGGGGUACUUGAAUUUAAAAAAAAAAAUGUUCACAGGGGGUACAUCACUGAAAAAAGGUUGAGAACCACUGUUCUAGAACAUUCCAUUAAAAUGUAGAGCAUUGAGGAUUUAGCACUUUUUUUGUGUCAAUUCCAGCAAAAAAGACACCCAUUCAACAAAUAUUUACCUCAAAAAUGUGCCGUUUCUGAAUCAUGUCGUCUUUUACCGUAUUUGUCCAUGAACGAGUGCAGAAAAAUGGAUCCAAAGUUGUGCUUUCAUGAGGACCACCGGGUCCCCCGAAUGUUCACAAACAGUACUAAUAAUCAUAGAAAUAUCUCCGUAGUUGUGCUUGGAGGACCAGCAGACAGUCUUGGGGGCCCUCGGAGUCCUCACUUCUUCUCCAGUGCGUCCUUGUUGGAGCAGUGAGGGUGCUUGUCGGACACCUUGGAGGCCGUGUUGGGACUGGAGCUGUCGCUUCCUCUCCCGCUCGCCUCCCCCGGAGCCGUGGGGGCCGCCGAGGGCCUCGCCAUGUUGGCCCCCGUCAGGACCCCCACGUUGGCGGACGCGGCGCCGAGCAGGUUGGCGGACUGCAGCACGGCCUCGGAGUGCUCGCGGGCCUUCAUGCGCAGGGCGGCCACGCUGGCCGUGCGGUUGCCCUGGCAACCGUAGGGCGGCAGGAAGGAUAAGCCCAUGGGGUCCGGAACGCAGCAGGAACACAAGGCGUUACCUGCGUGGCGACCUGAGAGAGGGCCUGAGCGUAGGUGGCCGAGUUGAGGAGGGUCCCUGGCAGGCAGGACGGGAAGAAGGGACCCCCGGGACCCACCGGUCUGUUCAUGCUGACCAAGCUCCAGCGGCUCUUUCUGCUUCCUGGCCUGCUCGGCGGGCGACUGAGGGUUGAUGCCGCGAGUCGGAGGAGCGCCUUCGCUUAUCUGCUCUUUCCCUCCUUCUGAGUCGGCGCCGCCUCGCUCCGUCUUUCUCCACUUGGCCCUGCGGUUCUGAAACCACACCUGCACGGCACAGUUUUUACCUGUUGCAAGGUGAACGUGGUCCUGUUCCUGCGCUGUUUCCUUCGCAGGAAGCCGUCGUCAAAAUCCGCCGGGGCGUGGUUGGCGAAAGUGCUCGAAGUCACUGCAGAUUAGUUUCACAGCCGUUCAUUCACCAGGAACAUUCUGCUCUGUAGAAAUACCUGUCUGGACUGCGUGAAGAGCAGCACUCGCUGACCCUGCUUGAACCAAAGGCGCAGCAGCGACUCCACCACGAUUAGUUUGCCCGAGCGUUUCCAGUAGCCAAAGUGCUCCUCUUCUGUCAGCGCCUCCUCUGGGAUCCCCCUCAGCAGCCGGGGGCCGCCGGAGAAAAGAUCUGGGUGGUUGCAAAUCUUACGCAACGCUAUCAAGCCUGAGAAAACCUGAACAGGGCAAAGAACAAAACAAGGGGAUUUGUUUUCAUAUGUGGACUACAUUACAUUUUACAAAUGGGACCUAUGAUGCAUUUUGUUUUUUCUGAUUUAUCAAUGUUUUUACAAUUUUGGAUACUUGUGUUAAACAAUGCCCAAACUUUAAAUCAUAUGGUUCAUGCAUGUUGGCGUGUGCAUGCACACAGUUUUGGAUGCCUCGGUCUGAGGGGUUUUGCAGUCUGGCUAUGUUGUGAUGUCACAGUGAGGUGGACACACUUAUUUAGACAAGCUCUUAACUAGGCUGUGAGGAAACCUCCAAAAUUAUGAUAAAGUAUUAUUGCCAUCUAUUUUUGGCAUGUAAAUAAUAACUCGAUGUGCGACAUGA